UCCCCAGUGGCGCAACUGGUUAGCGCGCGGUACUUAUAAUGCCGAGGUUGUGAGUUCGAUCCUCACCUGGGAAC
rnacentral:tRNA from 1 species